CAGAACCAGGGGCCUGCAGGGGACAAAGGGGUUCGCAGGAAGGCAUGAGACAGCAGGAGGUCUCCUCCCCCAGGGUGUGUGGCUGGGUGGGGAGGGGUCCCAUCUGGAAAUCAAGGGCGCAAUGGAUCUAGGGUGACCAGCCCAUCCUGGCCCGCCUGAGACUUUUCCCUUUUUAGCACUAAAAGUGCCAGGGCCUUGCCUGGUGGCUCAGACCUGUAAUGCCAGCACAUUGGGAGGCUGACACCGGAGAAUCACCUGAGCCAGGAGAUUGAGCCCAGCCUGGGCAAUAUAGUGAGACUCCAUCUCUACGAAAUAAUAAAAUGAAUUACUAGCAAGGCGUGGUGGCAUGUGCCUGUGGUCCCAGCUACCAGGGAGGCUGAGGUGGGAGGAUCGCUUGAGCCCAGUAUUUUGAGGCUGCAGUGAGCCAUGAUCACACCACUGCACUGCGGCCCAGGCAACAGAGCAAGACCCUGUCUCAAAGAAGAAAAAAGUUCCACUUCCAGGGUAAGCCCACAGCCCCAGUGGGUCACUGGAAGUGGGCAGGAAACCAACAUAUAUGAGGCCAAGUGAAAUGACUCACCUUUGAAGAAGAAAGUUUCCCCUCGGAUGUUGGCGAUGGCGUCAAAAUUGCCCUCACAUCGAUCAGGGAUGGGGAAGGAUGGGCUGGGAGGAAAGGAGAGGUGAGUAGAGAGGGGGGUUUGUUUUCUCCAAGGCAGGGACCCCCACCAUCCCCAUCUCAGAGGACACUGAGGCUGGGCAGCUGGUCACCCAAGGUCACCGAGUUGGUGGGGGACUCACCUGUGUGUGGGCGAGGCCGGGGGCUGGGGCGGAGGAGCCAGGGGUUUCCUUGUGGGCUUGUCAUAUGGGGUUUGGGGCGCCUUCCCUGUGAGGAAAGAGGCAGGUGUGCGUCCCCUGGCCCUGCUGCAGAGGACGCUGGAUGGGGCAAUGACGGUUUCGCCGGCAGGUCCCUCUCCCCCUACCAUAGAGUUGCUGCAGGCCAUCGCGGUCAUCCUGAGACAGGCGGUACUUGUCAGGGUCGCCCACCGGACCCUGGUAGAAGGGCCUCAUAAUGGAGUUGGGGGCUGAGGAGUGGCCCAGGCCCAGGGCGUGGCCAAACUCAUGGACAGCCACGGCAAACAGGUCGGUCCCCUCGCCGUCUGCAGGAGAGAGUGGGUGAGAGCUGCGGCCGCCCCUGCAUGGGGAAAGGGGCCACAGGAAGGCCCUGCGAGUGCAGCUGGGGCCAACAGGAACAGCAGGACACCCUCCAGAGGUGGCCCCAGCCUCCUCUGCCCAGCCCUUGCUGAACUCUCCAUCAUCCCUGUCUCCAGUCACCCAGUCAGCAUGGCUGUGAUGGACACUGGACCACAGGGCUGAAAAGAUCCAGAGAACACACAGAGGAAUAGGCCACCUUACACACAGAUGGGGCCCCUCCUCUGGGAAGGGAGCACUUUGUGCACAGAAGUUUGAGGGGGAGGAGCUGGGUGUGGUGGCUCAUGCCUGUAAACUCAGCACUUUUGGAGUCCCAGGUGGGAGGAUCGCUUGAGCCCAAGAGUUCAAGACUGGCCUGGACAACAUAAGGAGAUCCCCAUCUCUACAAAAAAAUUUUAAAAAUUGGCCAGGAGUGGUGGCGCAUGCCUGUGGUCCCAGCUACUCAGGUCCCAGGCUGAGGCAGGGAGGCAGGAGAAUCGCUGGAGCCCGGGAGGUGGAGGCUGCAGUGAUGCAUGACCAUGUCACUGCACUCCAGCCUGGAGGACAGAACAAGGCCCCGUCUCAAAAAAAGUAAAAAGAAAAAAAAAAGAAAAAGAAAAUAAAAGAAACUUAAGAGGGCGGUGGGGUGAGGGCAGGAGCCUACAAGGUGCGUGCCAUUCUCUUCAGGCAGCCCCAGCCCUGGGAGCAUCCCCUCCUCCCAGCUACAGUCUAUAGUCAGCGACCCCCACCCGUCUCCCCCUUGCCACCCCCAUCUGCUGGGGAUGUAGGUCCAUGUCCUUGACCCAAGACCUUCCUUCAUUCCUGCGCCCAUCCCUCCUCAAGCCAUAUCCCUUAUAUCCCUUGAGUCCUCCAUCCCCCCUCCCCCAUCUCCCUGUCCACAGCCUCUGCCCCUCCUCUCCCUACCCUGUACCACCCCAACCCCAGGUCUUCCUCCAUCUCCUUGGGAACACAGAGCUCCUCUAGCAGGCACUCUCAGAACACAGCCUGCCAGCCCCAGCACCCGGCCUUGCUCCCAGCCUCUUCCCACCACAGCAGCCUCUUCCCUCUGUAUUCAGCUCAGGCGCUCAGGACUGCCAGGACCCAGAGGAUUCACACGACAGCCCCGGCUGAAGCCCAGCUCCUCAUCAACCGGUGAGCCGCCUGCCAGCUCCUGCUCCAGCUGCUGAGAAGCCUGAAGAGACCAAGACAGAGACACAGCCCCGCAGCACCACAGGGAGGCCCCAGUUACCCCAUGCGGAUGAGUUUCAUGGCCAUCUCUAACUAAGGACAGGACAUCGAUGUCAUCUGUAACUUCCAGUGCACUGGGGCACACAGCUGCAUCUCCCCAUGCUCACCUCCUGCCUCUUGCUCUGCCCAGUAAGCUCGCCAACCCCCGUGGACUGCUGGCUCUCAAGGCGACCGCUAGCCCAGCUCCGACAGCAGCUGACAAUGCACAGUAUGCGGCCCGGGACAGGCCCUGUGCUGAGAGGCAUGGGUGAAUCGCUCAUUUCAUCGGCAAGCCCACGCCACCAGCAGGCGCCGUUC
rnacentral:lncRNA from 1 species